rnacentral:rRNA from 1 species
GAUGAACGCUGGCGGCGUGCCUAAUACAUGCAAGUCGAGCGAACGGACGAUAAGCUCGCUUCUCUGCUGUUAGCGGCGGACGGGCGAGUAACACGUGGAUCACCUUCCUAUAUGACUGGGAUAACUUCGGGAAACCGGAGCUACUACCGGCUAAUAUUUUGAACCGCAUGGUUCAAAAGUUAAAGACGGUCUUGCUGUCACUUAUAGAUGGAUCCGCGCUGCAUUAGCUAGUUGGUAAGGUAACGGCUUACCAAGGCAACGAUGCAUAGCCGACCUGAGAGGGUGAUCGGCCACACUGGAACUGAGACACGGUCCAGACUCCUACGGGAGGCAGCAGUAGGGAAUCUUCCGCAAUGGGCGAAAGCCUGACGGAGCAACGCCGCGUGAGUGAUGAAGGUCUUCGGAUCGUAAAACUCUGUUAUUAGGAAAGAACAGAUGUGUAAGUAACUGUGCACAUCUUGACGGUACCUAAACAGAAAGCCACGGCUAACUACGUG